rnacentral:rRNA from 1 species
GACGAACGCUGGCGGCGUGCUUAACACAUGCAAGUCGAACGGAAAGGCCCUGCUUGUGUGGGGUGCUCGAGUGGCGAACGGGUGAGUAACACGUGAGUAACCUGCCCUUGACUUUGGGAUAACUUCACGAAACUGGGGCUAAUACCGUAUAGGAUCUCCUGCUGCAUUGUGGGGGUUGGAAAGUUUCGGCGGUUGGGGAUGGACUCGCGGCUUAUCAGCUUGUUGGUUGGGUAGUGGCUGACCAAGGGAGUGACGGGUCGGCGGCAGGGGAGGGGGACCGGCGACAUUGGGACUGAGGUACGGCCCAGACUCCAACGGGAGGCAACGGUGGGGAAUAUGACACAAUGGGCGGAAGCCUGAUGCAGCAACGCCGCGGGCGUGAUGACGGCCUGUGGGGUGUAAACAGCUUUCGCUUGAGACGAAGCGUGAGUGACGGUAAUGGGUAAAGAAGCACCGGCUAACUACGUG